rfam:Streptomyces sp. SPB74 genomic scaffold supercont3.1, whole genome shotgun sequence.
CGGGCGGUGCUCUCCCAGACGGCGUCGUCCGACAGGAGUGCCUGUUCGCCGAAGUAGGAGCCGUCGCCGAUCAGGCCGAGGCUCGUCUCGUCGCCGUGGGAGCCGGUGCCGAGGCGGGCGACGCGGCCGUGGGCGAGGAGGUGGACGGCGUCGGCGGGCUCCCCGGCGGUCGUGAUGACCGUGCCGGCGGGGUGGACGCGCUGCACGCAGCGGGCCGCCAGCUCGCGGAGCGCCUCGGCGUCCUCGAAGUCGCGCAGCGGCGGCAGCUCGCGCAGCUCGUCCGGGAUGACGCUGACCUGCGAACCGGUCUGGACGAAGGUGACGCGGCCGUCGCCCACGGAGUAGGACAGGCGGCGGUUGACCCGGUAGGUGCCGCCCUGCACAGAGACCCACGGCAGCGCCUUGAGCAGCCAGCGGGAGGUGAUCUCCUGCAUCUGCGGCGCGGACUUCGUGGUGGUGGCGAGAUUGCGCGCCGCCGCCGCCCCAAGAGCCUGCUGGGGCGUUUCCU